GAUAAACGCUGGCGGCACACAUAAGACAUGCAAGUCGAACGGACUUAACUCAUUCUUUUAGAUUGAGAGCGGUUAGUGGCGGACUGGUGAGUAACGCGUAAGCAACCUGCCUAUUAGAGGGGAAUAACAGUGAGAAAUCAUUGCUAAUACCGCAUAUGCUAACAGUAUCGCAUGAUACAGUUAGGAAAGGAGCAAUCCGCUAAUAGAUGGGCUUGCGUCUGAUUAGCUAGUUGGUGGGGUAGAGGCUUACCAAGGCGACGAUCAGUAGCCGAGCUGAGAGGCUCAACGGCCACAUUGGGACUGAGAUACGGCCCAG
rnacentral:rRNA from 1 species